rnacentral:rRNA from 1 species
AACGAACGCUGGCGGCAUGCCUAACACAUGCAAGUCGAACGAGACCUUCGGGUCUAGUGGCGCACGGGUGCGUAACGCGUGGGAACCUGCCCUUAGGUUCGGAAUAACUCCCCGAAAGGGGUGCUAAUACCGGAUAAUGUCUUCGGACCAAAGAUUUAUCGCCUUUGGACGGGCCCGCGUUGGAUUAGCUAGUUGGUAGGGUAAAAGCCUACCAAGGCGACGAUCCAUAGCUGGUCUGAGAGGAUGAUCAGCCACACUGGGACUGAGACACGGCCCAGACUCCUACGGGAGGCAGCAGUGGGGAAUAUUGGACAAUGGGCGAAAGCCUGAUCCAGCAAUGCCGCGUGAGUGAUGAAGGCCUUAGGGUUGUAAAGCUCUUUUACCCGGGAUGAUAAUGACAGUACCGGGAGAAUAAGCUCCGGCUAACUCCGUG